CCUACGGGAGGCAGCAGUGGGGAAUAUUGCACAAUGGGCGGAAGCCUGAUGCAGCGACGCCGCGUGAGGGAUAAAGGCCUUCGGGUUGUAAACCUCUUUCAGCAGGGACGAAGCGUGAGUGACGGUACCUGCAGAAGAAGCACCGGCUAACUACGUGCCAGCAGCCGCGGUAAUACGUAGGGUGCGAGCGUUGUCCGGAAUUACUGGGCGUAAAGAGUUCGUAGGCGGUUUGUCGCGUCGUUUGUGAAAACCCGGGGCUCAACUUCGGGCUUGCAGGCGAUACGGGCAGACUUGAGUGUUUCAGGGGAGACUGGAAUUCCUGGUGUAGCGGUGAAAUGCGCAGAUAUCAGGAGGAACACCGGUGGCGAAGGCGGGUCUCUGGGAAACAACUGACGCUGAGGAACGAAAGCGUGGGUAGCAAACAGGAUUAGAUACCCUGGUAGUCCACGCCGUAAACGGUGGGCGCUAGGUGUGGGUUCCUUCCACGGGAUCUGUGCCGUAGCUAACGCAUUAAGCGCCCCGCCUGGGGAGGUACGGCGCGAGACGUAACGUAAACGAAGUAGACGCGNGAGACGUGCCGACGACGACGACGAGGGAGUAGG
rnacentral:rRNA from 1 species